rnacentral:rRNA from 1 species
ACCAUGCAGUCGAACGAUGACCCGGUAGCUGGGUGGAUUAACGAGUGGCGGGUGGGUGACUAAUAUAUCGUAUGCCCUUCACUCUGGGGGGAUCCCUGGAAACAGGGUCUAAUAAUACCAUACAACAAUCUCGGGCAUCCGAAGGGGACCUUCGCUCCUUAUGCUUUUGAUGAGCCCGAUAUCCUAUCUACUUGUUGGGAAGUAACGGCUCACCCAGGCGACCAAUGGUAGCCUGCCUGAGAGGGCGACCGGCCACACUGGGACUGAAACACGGCCCCAACUCCUACGGGAGGGAGCAGUGGGGAAUAUUGCACAAUGGGCGAAAGCCUGAUGCCGCGACUCCCCGUGAAGGAUGACGGCCUUCGGGUUGUAAACCUCUUUCUGCAGGGAAAAAACGAGAGUGACGGUACCUGCAGAACAAGCGCCGGCUAACUACGUGCCAGCAGCCGCGGUAAUACGUAGGGCGCGAGCGUUGUCCGGAAUUAUUGGGCGUAAAGAGCUCGUAAGCGGUCUGUCGCGUCGGAUGUGAAAGCCCGGGGCUUAACCCCGGGUCUGCAUUCGAUACGGGCAGACUAGAGUGUGGUAGGGGAGAUCGGAAUUCCUGGUGUAGCGGUGAAAUGCGCAGAUAUCACGAGGAACACCGGUGGCGAAUGCGGAUCUCUGGGCCAUUACUGACGCUGAGGAGCGAAAGCGUGACGCGCGA